UGGGGCGUUCACCAAAAUGAGACUGGGAGAAGAAGAGAGUCAGGUUUGUGCUGUCAUUGGCCCGGCUGUGGAAGAGAUACGAUCGGCUGAAGUGCUGCUGAAGCGACGCAACAUCAUUUUGUGCCCUGAAGCAUGGCGGCACUGUGACAGACAAAAUCUUAUUGUCAAAGUAUUAAAAAUGAAGAAGCUGUCAAGCAGGGAACAGAAAAGUAUGUCAGUGGAUGACCUGUGCCGUUACAACAUUCACUUUCCUAUGAAGAACUAUCCAAUUACAUACAUAUUAACAAAUGAAGAGAGAGAAACCUUCAUCCGUGAGUUUAUGAUUCAUACAGCCUGUAACAAGAUACAUGAAAAUCAGCAAUGGCAAGCCCCAAUCCUGGCCUGCCAGAGAUAUGGCCUACCACCAUCAUGUUUGUGUAUCUGCAAUUCGUGCUGACUCAGAUGGAUCUGAGAUUCGAUCGUCACGAAGUCAGCGAAACUAUUGCAGGGCAGAUGUUCAGGUGCCGUGGGAAAAUCUGCAAUGUCUUCUUUUUUGAAGAGGUACGUUUUCCAGGUUUUCCUGGUUACUUUAUUAUUAUUAUUCUGCUUAUUAUUAUUAUUAUUAUUAUUAUUAUUAUUAUUACUACAGUCAGUAACAGACAUUUAACUGGGUAAACAGUUGAUAAUUUUACAGAGUUUAAAGUAUAAAGUAACAUACAGUCACAAUCACAAUUACAGUUUUAU
ensembl:lncRNA